UACGUAGGGGGCAAGCGUUGUCCGGAUCUAUUGGGCGUAAAGAGCGUGUAGGCGGUUUGGUAGGUCCGCUGUGAAAACUCGAGGCUCAACCUCGAGACGCCGGUGGAAACCAUCAGACUAGAGUCCGGAAGAGGAGAGUGGAAUUCCCGGUGUAGCGGUGAAAUGCGCAGAUAUCGGGAAGAACACCCGUGGCGAAGGCGGUUCUCUGGGACGGUACUGACGCUGAGACGCGAAAGCGUGGGGAGCGAACAGG
rnacentral:rRNA from 1 species